GCGGGGAUGCCGGAGCGGUCAAACGGGAUAGACUCAAGACAUUUGAGUUAUGAAGCUUUCAGGAAAGGCUGAUGAAGAACUCGUGAGCCAUCUAUUGGCUUAGUGCCUACCGGGGUUCAAAAAAGUUUCUGUGAAAACAGACUCAUUGAAAGUCCUCGUCCCCGCA
rnacentral:tRNA from 1 species